GUCUAUGGCCAUGUUAGCCUGAACAUGCUCGAUCUUGUCUGAUUUCCGAAGCUAAGCAGAGUCAGGCCUGGUUAGUACUUGGAUGGGAGACCAUCUAGGAAUAUCAGGUGCUGUAGGUG
ensembl:rRNA 5S_rRNA 5S ribosomal RNA